rnacentral:rRNA from 1 species
AUUGAACGCUGGCGGCAUGCCUUACACAUGCAAGUCGAACGGUAACAGGUCUUCGGAUGCUGACGAGUGGCGAACGGGUGAGUAAUACAUCGGAACGUGCCCGAUCGUGGGGGAUAACGAGGCGAAAGCUUUGCUAAUACCGCAUACGAUCUACGGAUGAAAGCGGGGGAUCGUCGGACCUCGCGCGGACGGAGGGGCCGAUGGCAGAUUAGGUAGUUGGUGGGAUAAAAGCUUACCAAGCCGACGAUCUGUAGCUGGUCUGAGAGGAUGAUCAGCCACACUGGGACUGAGACACGGCCCAGACUCCUACGGGAGGCAGCAGUGGGGAAUUUUGGACAAUGGGCGAAAGCCUGAUCCAGCCAUGCCGCGUGCAGGAUGAAGGCCUUUGGGUUGUAAACUGCUUUUGUACGGAACGAAAAGCCUCUUUCUAAUAAAGAGGGGUCAUGACGGUACCGUAAGAAUAAGCACCGGCUAACUACGUG